rnacentral:rRNA from 1 species
ACGGAAGGCAGCAGUAGGGAAUCUUCGGCAAUGGGGGCAACCCUGACCGAGCAACGCCGCGUGAGUGAAGAAGGUUUUCGGAUCGUGAAGCUCUGUUGUAAGAGAAGAACGUGUGUGAGAGUGGAAGUUCACGCAGUGACGGUAACUUACCAGAAAGGGACGGCUAACUACGUGCCAGCAGCCGCGGUAAUACGUAGGUCCUGAGCGUUGUCCGGAUUUAUUGGGCGUAAAGCGAGCGCAGGCGGUUUAAUAAGUCUGAAGUUAAAGGCAGUGGCUUAACCAUUGUUCGCUUUGGAAACUGUUAGACUUGAGUGCAGAAGGGGAGAGUGGAAUUCCAUGUGUAGCGGUGAAAUGCGUAGAUAUAUGGAGGAACACCGGUGGCGAAAGCGGCUCUCUGGUCUGUAACUGACGCUGAGGCUCGAAAGCGUGGGGAGCAAACAGGAUUAGAUACCCUGGUA